rnacentral:rRNA from 1 species
AUUGAACGCUGGCGGCAUGCUUUACACAUGCAAGUCGAACGGUAACAGGUUGAGCUGACGAGUGGCGAACGGGUGAGUAAUGCAUCGGAACGUGCCCGGUCGUGGGGGAUAACGCAGCGAAAGCUGCGCUAAUACCGCAUACGAUCUGAGGAUGAAAGCGGGGGACCGUAAGGCCUCGCGCGAUCGGAGCGGCCGAUGUCAGAUUAGGUAGUUGGUGGGGUAAAGGCUCACCAAGCCGACGAUCUGUAGCUGGUCUGAGAGGACGACCAGCCAAACUGGGACUGAGACACGGCCCAGACUCCUACGGGAGGCAGCAGUGGGGAAUUUUGGACAAUGGGCGCAAGCCUGAUCCAGCAAUGCCGCGUGCAGGAAGAAGGCCUUCGGGUUGUAAACUGCUUUUGUACGGAGCGAAAAGGUCUUCCCUAAUACGGGAGGCUGAUGACGGUACCGUAAGAAUAAGCACCGGCUAACUACGUGCCAGCCGCCGCGGUAACAC